AGGUGAUGGAGGUGUUAACUAAUCCUACUAUGGUAAUCAUUUUGCAGUGGAUCAAGUCAUCACCUUGUACACCUCAAGCCUACACAGUAUUAUAUCAAAUAUAUCUUGGUAAAGCUGGAAAAAAAAGAAUUGACUGUAUGUGAAAAGUCAAAUGACAGGCUGAGAGAAAAUAUUUGUAAUAAAUACAUCCAAGUAAGGAUUUGCAUCACAAAUACAUAAAGAAUUCCUACAAAUCAAUUAAGAUAACUGAAUUUUUAAGACUUGAACACCUCAUAAAAGAGGCUAUUGGGACUUCCCUGGCAGUCCAAUAGUUAAGACUCUGUGCUUCCAUUGCAGGGGGCACAGGUUUGAUCCAGCAGGUUGGGGAACUAAGAUCCCCCAUUCCUCGUGGUGCAGCCAAAACAAAAAUGGAGGAGGACAUCAAGGUGGCCAACGACAGACUGAGUGUUCGGUAUCACUAAUCGUAAUGUGAAGGCAAACUGAGAUACCACCAUGCACACCGAAUGGCUAAAACGUGACACGUUGGGUCCCACCGUUGGUCAAGGCAACACCUCAACCCCUUUCUAGCUCUCCGCUCAAUCCUGCAGGUUCCAACCGGCCUCCCUUUCUUGGUGAAAUACCAGAGUCUUAUCUUCCUCUUUCAAAUGGAAAUCGUGCUGUGAAAUCUGCAAACUAUAACUUCUAUCAGGUUAAAUAUAUGUAAAUAGCGCCUCAAAGAACAGAGGUAUGCUCUGUGGGAUUCCAGCCUGCCCCUCAGAAGCACACUGCUGAUGUGUCUUAAGGCUGGAGACUGUGGGCACCGGAACAAACUUCUGCUUUAAACCCCGGAGGAAGACGGGAAAAGGAGAGCUUGCCUCUUACGCUAAACAGCCCUCAGGACGGAGACCCCAGAGUCACCUCUCCCUCUCCCCGUGACUGGCGAAGUGUCAAGUGCCGUACAGCCUAGGGAGUCUGAGGAUAGCGUGGACGUCAUGAGAGCGGGUGAGGAAGAGGGCAAGGAGAAGGUGGAGAGCAGGUAUAUAUGCCGAUCCUUCCACCCACAGCAACAUUAUAGCAACUGGCCGGGAGAUCAGAAGCCUGUGGGGCAACACACCGCCUGGUGCAGCGAUGCUCGGGCCAGGGAAUGAAGUUCAGACCACCACCAGUGUUACAUCAGCUCAAAAUAUGGAAACACAAACCCAGUAAUAAAAACCAGAGAGAAGUGAGAUGAGAAAAACAAGGCUGAGAAAGGUUAAGUCACUUGAUCAAGAUCACACAACCAGCAAGUGGCUGAGCCAGGAUUUAAACUGCAGUCUGACUCCAGACCCUGUGGUCCUGACUUCGAAGCCCUCAACUUUCACAAGAGAAGUAGUUUGGGUGCAACUUUUUUUCAGAAAGAAGGCUUUUAUCAAGGUUGAUGAUUGCCGCCUCUACAAAGGACCUCCUGAGGCUCUGCUGUGCCAAUAUCUCACUCCAUAAAGCACGUCUUGCCUUCUAUACAUCGGAGUGUCCACUGAGCGCCAGGUCUGCUCAGCACUUCAUACAGUGGCAGCAGAAUGACAUAUACGGAUGCUCAGUGGAGGUGUCCAUGAAGAAACCAGAAGUCACCUUGCUGAUGAGAGGUGAAGGAGGCCUCAAACUUGGGGUUCAUAAAAAAUUCCAGUUGGAACAGAUGUUCUCUUAGCUCACACAAGAAGCUGUCUGUACUGAACAUCUUAUCUCACCACACCAACAGCCAAGUAAUAAACCCAGAAUGACAAAAGGAGCUUCCAGAAUAUGGCAACAGUGCCUUGCAGCAGUUCUGCUACAAAUACCAACAUUACAUGGGUAAAGUAUAGAAACCAUCUCUUAACAUUCUUAUCUUGAAAGGAUGGCUAUCUUCUGUGAAUUAUUCAGUAGUGGGCCCAGAUCCCAUAGAAUUUUGAAGACCUUAGAAAACUAGAACUUUGGGAUUUCCCUGGUUAAGACUCCAGGGAAGUCCAAUAGUUAAGACUCCAAGCUUCCACUGCAGGGGACACGGGUUCGAUCCCUGGUCGGGGAACUAAGA